rnacentral:rRNA from 1 species
UACGAAGGGGGGCUAGCGUUGUUCGGAAUCACUGGGCGUAAAGCGCGCGUAGGCGGGUCGUUAAGUCAGGGGUGAAAUCCCGAGGCUCAACCUCGGAACUGCCUUUGAUACUGGCGACCUGGAGUCCGGGAGAGGUGGAGUGGAACUCCUAGUGUAGAGGUGAAAUUCGUAGAUAUUAGGAAGAACACCAGUGGCGAAGGCGGCUCACUGGCCCGGUACUGACGCUGAUGCGCGAAAG